UACGAAGGGGGCUAGCGUUGCUCGGAAUCACUGGGCGUAAAGGGUGCGUAGGCGGGUUUUUAAGUCAGAGGUGAAAUCCUGGAGCUCAACUCCAGAACUGCCUUUGAUACUGAAAGUCUUGAGUAUGGGAGAGGUGAGUGGAACUGCGAGUGUAGAGGUGAAAUUCGUAGAUAUUCGCAAGAACACCAGUGGCGAAGGCGGCUCACUGGCCCAUUACUGACGCUGAGGCACGAAAGCGUGGGAGCAAACAGG
rnacentral:rRNA from 1 species